rnacentral:rRNA from 1 species
AAAUUGAAGAGUUUGAUCAUGGCUCAGAUUGAACGCUGGCGGCAGGCCUAACACAUGCAAGUCGAACGGUAACAGGAAGCAGCUUGCUGCUUCGCUGACGAGUGGCGGACGGGUGAGUAAUGUCUGGGAAACUGCCUGAUGGAGGGGGAUAACUACUGGAAACGGUGGCUAAUACCGCAUAACGUCGCAAGACCAAAGAGGGGGACCUUCGGGCCUCUUGCCAUCAGAUGUGCCCAGAUGGGAUUAGCUUGUUGGUGGGGUAACGGCCCACCAAGGCGACGAUCCCUAGCUGGUCUGAGAGGAUGGCCAGCCACACUGGAACUGAGACACGGUCCAGACUCCUACGGGAGGCAGCAGUGGGGAAUAUUGCACAAUGGGCGCAAGCCUGAUGCAGCCAUGCCGCGUGUAUGAAGAAGGCCUUCGGGUUGUAAAGUACUUUCAGCGGGGAGGAAGGUGUUG